GAUUUCUGUUUUUGUUUUUCCAUGUGUGGAAGUGGCACACAUCACUUCUACUCUCAUUUCUUUGCCAGGUUUCCAUCAUAUGACUCACACCCCUAACCACCAAACAAAAGGAUGGUUGGAAAAUGUAGUCUUCCCAUGUGUUAAAGAAGAAGAUAUAUUUGGUUCUUCAAACCCAAGAGAAAUUUCAAGCAGAAGACUAUGAAUGUUGCAGACCUUCUUUUCCCUUCUUUUGUCACAGCUGAUAGGGGCUGUGUAUUCUCAGUCCAUGAGAAGAGCUAAAGAGAAGCAAAUUUUCACUUCAAUGCUUGAGAAUACAUUUUACACAUUAUUUAUAACAUUGGUGGGAUUUAAACUAUUUUGAAUUUCUGUAUUUAUUUACUUUUUUUUCUCAUAAUGUUAGAUCCUUAUCAAAAGUUUUCUUGUUAAGUGAACUUUGGUAUAGAAUUAAUGUUUUCUAUCCAGACUUCCCUAGAAAAUAUAGCAGUUGUGUCACUAUGGAUUAAUGUUAUAUAACCAUGAUAUACCUACUCAUUUGUUGAUGACCAAUUUUAAAAAGAUUCUAUAAUGUGGAAUCCAUUAUGGAGAAUGGGUAUAAGAAUAUGUUUCUUACCUUUUUCACAAAUGAAUUGAGAACAUCCAUUUUGGUUGAAUGCAAUUAAUUAUUUUUACUAACAGUUAAAAUAUAUGGCAUAAAAAUAUAAUACUUAAAUAAAAGCAGGUGUAUAUUUCCA
rnacentral:lncRNA from 1 species